GGGAUGAUUCUUCGACAUUGGUGG
rnacentral:siRNA from 1 species